GAUAUAGCUUCUUCUAUUAUGAUCUCUUCACAUGAACUCAUGAUGCUGCUACGGCUUCAUUAUGACUACUUGUGCUUGUUAGGAAAUUCUUGUUUAUCUCAUGCUUCCAUCAUGUUCGCAUGCACACAACAAACAAUUCACACCAUCUUCAUCACAUGCACACAAAGAUAAAGAAAAAAAAACACUCAGAAAAUGUAAAGCAAAAAGAUACACUCCUCAAGAGAGUCAUUUGCAAAAAC
rnacentral:lncRNA from 1 species